rnacentral:rRNA from 1 species
AACGAACGCUGGCGGCAUGCCUAACACAUGCAAGUCGAACGAGAUCUUCGGGUCUAGUGGCGCACGGGUGCGUAACGCGUGGGAAUCUGCCCUUUGGUUCGGAAUAACAGUUGGAAACGACUGCUAAUACCGGAUGAUGACGAAAGUCCAAAGAUUUAUCGCCAGAGGAUGAGCCCGCGUAGGAUUAGCUAGUUGGUGUGGUAAAGGCGCACCAAGGCGACGAUCCUUAGCUGGUCUGAGAGGAUGAUCAGCCACACUGGGACUGAGACACGGCCCAGACUCCUACGGGAGGCAGCAGCGGGGAAUAUUGGACAAUGGGCGAAAGCCUGAUCCAGCAAUGCCGCGUGAGUGAUGAAGGCCUAGGGUUGUAAAGCUCUUUUACCCGGGAUGAUAAUGACAGUACCGGGAGAAUAAGCUCCGGCUAACUCCGUGCCAGCCGCCGCAGUAA